UGAGGUAGUAGGUUGUAUAGUUCAGCGUGGCAUCAUCAGGUGAAACUAUUACAACUUGCUAGCUUGC
rnacentral:pre_miRNA from 1 species